rnacentral:sRNA from 1 species
UGACGUCGGCGAGGGGCGCCGUUGCCCUG